UCUUCCUUGGUCUAGUGGUCAUGAUUUCCGCUUGUCAUCGCAAGGUAACGAGCGCGGGAGACCGGGGUACGUAAACAGCGUCUUGGGCACUCUCAACAUCUGUCUCUAACUCCGCAAUAGGUUCGAUUCCCCGAGGGAGAG